rnacentral:rRNA from 1 species
UGAGCAAUCUGCCCUUCUCUUCGGAAUAAGCGUUGGAAACGACGUCUAAUGCCGAAUACGACCUCCUUUCGCAUGAUCGGAGGUGGAAAGCUCCGGCGGAGAAGGAUGAGCUCGCGGCCUAUCAGCUUGUUGGUGGGGUGAUGGCCUACCAAGGCGACGACGGGUAGCCGGCCUGAGAGGGCGACCGGCCACACGUGGGACUGAGACACGGCCCAGACCUCCGUACGGGAGG